rnacentral:tRNA from 1 species
GCGUCGGUAGGCCAUCUGGCGAGCCGCAAGAUUUAGGAUCUUGUGUCUGUCGGUUCGAAUCCGACCCGGCGCACCA